UACGUAGGGUGCAAGCGUUGUCCGGAAUUAUUGGGCGUAAAGAGCUCGUAGGCGGUUUGUCACGUCGGCCGUGAAAACUCGGGGCUCAACCCCGAGCCUGCGGUCGAUACGGGCAGACUAGAGUGCUGUAGGGGAGACUGGAAUUCCUGGUGUAGCGGUGGAAUGCGCAGAUAUCAGGAGGAACACCGGUGGCGAAGGCGGGUCUCUGGGCAGUAACUGACGCUGAGGUGCGAAAGCGUGGGGAGCAAACAGG
rnacentral:rRNA from 1 species